CUAGAUGGUGGUUACACCAAUUUAUUUGCUGUCUGUAAUUUAUUACAUUGUCUAUCUUUGGUGUGAAUUUCGUAUUUCUCAAUAAAAUUGUUUUUUGUUUUUUUAAAAUAUUAACAUUUAAAGUACCAGAAACUAUUAAAUGUUGAAAACACUUUCUUCCAGUUUCCUAUUUUUUCUUUUAAGUUUUUUUAAUAAUCAUUUUUUAAAAAAACUUGAAUUUACCAACUUUUUAACGUACCUUAAUUUCAAAUUGUUGUCAGCAAGCCAUGUAGUCUAUUUUUGCACUUUCUAUUUUUUUUAAUUUGUAUUUCUAAGUGAAUUUAUGAAAUAGCAGCACACCAUUUUACUACUUACAACAUGUUAGAUAGUAGUGGGAUUAGGCAUCUUUGCAUUGUUUUUUAUUAAGGAAUUCCUUCAGUUUUUCCUCAUUAAGUGACACUUGCUUUAAGACUGAGCUAAAAGUCUAUUAAGACAUUAAGCAAGUAUUUAUUUAUUUAUUUUUUUUGUCUUUUGUCUUUUUUGUUGUUGUUGUUGUUAUUGUUGCUAUUUCUUGAGCCGCUCCCGCGGCAUAUGGAGGUUCCCAGGCUAGGGGUUGAAUCGGAGCUGUAGCCGCCUGCCUACGCCAGAGCCACAGCAACUCGGGAUCCGAGCCGUGUCUGCAACCUACACCACAGCUCACGGCAACGCCAGAUCGUUAACUCACUGAGUAAGGGCAGGGAUCGAACCCGCAACCUCAUGGUUCCUAGUAGGAUUCGUUAACCACUGCGCCACGACAGGAACUCCAAGCAAGUAUUUAAUUUUCACUGCAUAUACUUAUGAGAAAUAACAAAAAAAUUUUCAAAUUUUAUUUUUGCCCAGUCAUUUCUUAUUUUUCAUACAAGUAACUUUAAUUUUUUGCUUCACUUUUUUUUGUUGUGAUUUUUCUUUUGAUAUUUAGGAAAGUUUUCAUUUUUUUCCAGUGAUUAUUUUUAAUACUCUUUAUUAACAUACUUAUUUUUCUUUGUAAAGCUUAUACUCUUUAGUGUAUGUUUUAAGUUUUAUGUUUUGAAAUCUACUAGUAUAUAUAUAUAAAUCAGGAGGCAAACUUUCCAUUUUCUCCUCUCUCCUCCUUCAUUAAAAAAAAUCGUGGCCAUUUCCACCUUGUAGGAACAUAUAGCACCAACACUUUAUUUUUAUAUUUAUUUACCUACCUUUACUUUGUCCUCAGAUUUUUGAUUACAGAUAAUAAAAGCUCAGAAGUUAUUUUUGCUGAAAUGUCAACAUUCAUCUCUUGAACAAAGAAAAUGAGGAUUGUUUUAGGGUGGAUAGCUCAGUUACAGGUUUUGUGUGCUAGAGUUUCACCUGCCUCCCCUUCCUUCCUCUGUAACCCCAAGAAAGCAGUUCUCUGUUACCUUUUACUAUCAUUUUGUCCUUUCAAGAAUGUUGCAGAAAUGGAAGCACACAGUAACCUUUUGAGAUCGGCUUUUCUCCCUCAGAAUCUUUCUUGCGGAGAUUCACCCUGGUUGCUGUAUAUUAGUGUGUUCCUCAGUACUGCUGAGUAGUGGUCCACAGUCUGCACGUGCCACAGGUUGUUGCCCAUUUCCCUGCUGAAGGGCGUCUGGGCUGUUUCCAGUUUGGAGACAUUAAUUGUGUAUAGGUUUGGGGGUGAACAUACAUUUUUUGCUUUUAUUUUUAUUUUUUGAAAAUAAGGGAAAGCAGUUAAGCUACUACUAAACUGAGAAAUGUGUCCUGCCAUUCUCUGGAGUUCUGGCUCCCUGCACUGUAAGAGUCUUGAGCAUUUCCUUUUUUAGUGUUGUAACAUAUACAUUAGUUCCAGGUGUCCAACAUAAUGACUUGUUAUUUGUUUAUAUUGAGAAAUGAUCACCACAAUAAAUCUAGUUAACAUCUGUCAUCAUAUAGAAUUACAGGGUAUUUUCUUUGUGAUGAGAACUUUUAAGAUUUAUUCGCUUGGCAACUUUCAAAUAUGCAACACUAUCAGUUGCAUCUCCAUGCUGUACAUGACAUCCCCAGGACUUAGGUUAUGCUUGGAGGUUUGAUCUCUUUCACCUAUUUCACCCACCCUUUAGUCUUCACCUCUGGCAACCACCAAUCUGUUCUCCAUAUCGCCGAGCUUUGUUUUUUGUUUUGUUUUUUAGAUUUCGCAUUUGAGUGAGAUCAUGUGGUAUUUGUCUUUCUGUGUGACUUAUUUCAUUUAUCAGAAUGCCCUCAUGGUCCAUCCAUGUUGUCACAAAUGUCAAGAUUUCCUUCUUUUUUAUAGCUGAGUAAUAUUCUUUUGUAUACAUACCACAUCUUUAUCCACUCACCCAUCUAUGGACACUUAGGUUAUUUUCAUGACUUAGCUAUUAUAAGCAAUGCUGCAAUGAACAUAGAGUGCAUAUAUAUUUUGAGUUAGUGUUUUUGUUUUAAGUAAAUACUCGGAAACGUAAUUACUAGAUCAUAUAAUAUUUCUGUUUUUAAUUUUUUGGCGGAAUCUCCAUACUGUUUUCCAUAGUGGCUGCACCAAUUUACAUUCAUGUCAACAGUGCAUGAUGGUUCCCUUUUCUCUAACCCUCUCUAACACAUGUUAUUUCUUGUCUCACUGUGGUUUGGGAUUGCAUUUUCCUGACGAUUAGUGAAGUCUAGCAUCUUUUAAUGUACCUGUUGGUCAUUUGUAUGUCUUCCUUGGAAAAAUGUCUAUUCAGAUCAUCUGCCCAUUUAAAAAUUGAAUCAUUUGGAGGUUUUUGCUAUGGAGUUGAAAUGAACCUAUGUUUUAUUUACUUUGGGAUUAAUGUCCAGCUGUGCAAUUGUUGGGUCAUAUGAUAGUCAUACAUUUAGUUUAAAAAGAAAAAUUGCCAAAUUGUUCCCAGAGUGGCAAUUUCAGCUUGUAUCUCCACCAGCAAUGCAUGAGUGAUCCAUUUUCUAGUUUUGUCAGAUCCUUUAAAACAUUUAGCAUGGUAGCUUUUUUUUUUUAAGCCAUUGUGAUAUAUGUGUGGUGAUGUUUCGUUGAGUUUCUAAUUUACAUUUCCCUAAUGGCUAAUAACGCAAAAUAUAUUUUUAUGUUCUUAUUUGCCAUCUAUAUCUAUUCUUCGGUGAAAUUUCUAUUCAUAUAUUUUUGUCCAUUCUGUAAUUGGAUAAUUUACUUUUACCUGUUGAGUUUUGAGAGUGAUGAUGGGUGCUACUGUGACAAUGUGAUGGUAAAUUUGAUGGGCUCUUUUUCUCUGGAGAAACCUGACUAAUCAGACAGCAAAAAAAAGAGGACACACUUGGGCCCUGACAUUGGGCUGAUGCCGGCUGUCAUGUCUACACCGAGACCCUUUUUAUAUCUUUUCCAUCUCCUCCAAACCCCAAGCAAACUCUGGAUCAUUGGUGGCAUAUCCAGCUGUUUCAAAAGUUGAAGGUAACAAUGUUAUACAAUGUUUAUGAUGUUCCUACAUAAGUUCAUUAUAUUUGAGGAAAUUUUUACCUUACAAACAUGAUAUGAAUAGUAGAAAAGUUUACAAAGUAUAUACAAGCUCCUUUAUCUCUCCCUCUCAUUAAACCCUAAAAACUCACACAAACACACAAAGAAUGCCUAUGCAAAUAAAACACUUACACAAUCCCAUUUAGAGGAAUAUUACUAUUUUAAUUCAGUGAUUUCAAUGUAAAUAUUCCAUUUUCUAUAUUUUUCCCUGUGAGCAUGUAUAUACUUCAAUAACACAUGUAUAUCAUAGUUUAAGAUGAUGUACUCUCUAUGCCAGUAGUAAGAUCACCUUGUGUAAAUAUAGAAGUAUGUAGGCCACUUAAAUAUAGAAGUAUGUACGAAAGUGUCAGAAAUAGUCAAGUGUCUACUUUAGUAUUUGAUAUUUCACUUAGUUAUCCCUAUGCAAUUUGUCACAUUAUAUAAUUUAUAAAUAUUAAACUUUCCCACUCUUAAAUUUCAUGAAACAAUUUUAUUCAAAUCUACACAUGUUUUUUUGACAUUAGUGCAUUCAUCACUUUGCCAGCUAGUUUGAGUCACCUAACACAGUCUUCAAGAAUACAUCAUCUCCACAUCCACCUAAAAUCAUAAAACUAUAACACUUUUUGAAUGUGUAAGAUGCUGUCACUAGAAAUUUUAUCUCCUGUCAAAAGGACCCAUUUACAUAACAUUAGUACCCAUUUCCCUCACCCCACUGAAGAUAUAUGGUCAUGGUCCCAGGACCUCUACAAUGCUGUCAGUUGCCUUUCUCCUUUUAAGGAGACCUUGAAAAUUCUUGUUUGCAAUAGCAUUAAAUGGUAUUUAACCUGAGGUUAUACAACUGGGAAUGUUUACCAAAUCUAUGUUACUUUUUUUUCUUUUUGUGCAUGUGUGUGUUUCUGUUCCCGAACUCCAAAAGCAUUUAAAUUUCCAUUGUUCAUAAUAACAUUUCUCUCCCAAAUGGUGCUUCAAAAUAUUGAUGUGAUUGGCAGAGCAACACACACAUGAGAAAUUUUCGAAUAGGAUUUGGUAAACAACUCUCAGAAAGGUAAUCUGGGGCAAUAAUACACAUCCGAUAUUUGGGCAGCAAGAGUGUUUUAUUUUUAAACCUAUGUUUUAUUGAAUAUAUUUCAAGUUUCUUUAUAUUUUAUUAAACACUUUCUACAAUAAGAAAUUUAAAGAUUAAAUAGUAUUUUGUUAUGCAGAUUUGGAAGUUCGGUUUAACCAGUUCCUUUGUGUUUGGCCUUUGUUUCAUUUCUUGAUACUUCACUCAUGGAAAAAACACAAGGAUGAACCCCUUAUAAUUAUACCUUUGGAAAUUCCAUAUUUUCUUUCCUUAGCAUAAAUUGUUAGAUAUACAUUUUUCUUAAGGUUUUUUGCGUAUUUCCAAAGUAAGGAGACAGGUCCCACUAGGCAAGCACAUAUUAGCCUUUACUUUUGUCACAUGCGUUACUGUCCUUAUGGCCAAUGCAAGUUGGAGUCAGUGUGUGGGAGGGGCUACCCAAGGUUGUGAGUACAGAGAGGUUUGAGUAGACUUUGCAACAACCUGCAGGAGGCUUUGUUAGAGUGCUUAAACCUAUGAUGUUGGGAUAAAUCUAAGUUUAUGUUCUGGCUCUGAAACUUAAAGUAUGUGUGAUUACGGACAAGUUACUUAAACUCUCUGAGCCUCACUCUUACGCCUAAUCAUAGAAGCUGGAGUGUAAGAAGGAGGAUUAAAUAAAAUAAUGCACAUAAAGGACUUAACACAGAGCACGCCACGUAAUAAGAGCUCAAAAACAUUUUAGCUACUGUUAUGGAGACAAAUUCUUAGGUUCUGAAUGUUCUUUGUGAUAAAUUAUUUAUAUCUCUUUUGGAAAUGUGUCACUGGUGCCCCCCCCCCGAGGUCUGCAUGUGUGGACAGGUAUGAAGCCAAGCCUGGACACAGCUUAGGCUCUAAGGGGCUCAGAGAGUCCUGCUCUCUGAGUUCAGGACUGAAUUGCUCAGCUUCUGUAAGUAGUGCUUUUUCCCCACUGGCUUGCUGAGGAAUUUAUAAUGCAGUGAUAUCCAUCAUCUAGCCUAGUUAGCAAACAGUACUGUGCUAACCUCACCACGGGAAGAAUUAUUCAGACUUCCUUCAUUGUAAAAAUGACAAAGACAAUUCUUUAGCUCCACAAUCUUUCAUUAAUACAUUGCAAGAGGCAACAGUGUACAAUCUGUUAUCCUGCAUUUAGCCUCUGUUUGAGAACUCUGCUUGCCAAAAUUUUACUUCUCACAUGAUUUUUAUCAAAAACAUUCUCAAGUUUCAGUAUUUCUCUGCUAACUUUUCUCUAUUAACUAGUCUGAGUCACCACUGCAGUAACUCCAUGAAUGUUCUUCCUUCCAUCUUUGCUACCCAUUCUCCAUACAAGAAAGAGAGUGAUGUUCAAGAGUACAAACUAGGUAGCCUA
rnacentral:lncRNA from 1 species